UUGAACGCUGGCGGCAUGCUUUACACAUGCAAGUCGAACGGUAACAGGCCUUCGGGUGCUGACGAGUGGCGAACGGGUGAGUAAUGCAUCGGAACGUGCCCAAUCGUGGGGGAUAACGUAGCGAAAGUUACGCUAAUACCGCAUACGCCCUGAGGGGGAAAGCAGGGGACCGCAAGGCCUUGCGCUCAUGGAGCGGCCGAUGGCAGAUUAUGUAGUUGGUGGGAUAAAAGCUUACCAAGCCGACGAUCUGUAGCUGGUCUGAGAGGACGACCAGCCACACUGGGACUGAGACACGGCCCAGACUCCUACGGGAGGCAGCAGUGGGGAAUUUUGGACAAUGGGCGCAAGCCUGAUCCAGCCAUGCCGCGUGCAGGAUGAAGGCCUUCGGGUUGUAAACUGCUUUUGUACGGAACGAAAAGACUCCUUCUAAUAAAGGGGGUCCAUGACGGUACCGUAAGAAUAAGCACCGGCUAACUACGU
rnacentral:rRNA from 1 species